rnacentral:rRNA from 1 species
CCUACGGGAGGCAGCAGUGAGGAAUAUUGGUCAAUGGGCGCGAGCCUGAACCAGCGAAGUCGCGUGAGGGAAGACGGUCCUAUGGAUUGUAAACCUCUUCUGUCGGGGAGCAAAAGACGCCACGCGUGGCGUUCCGAGAGUAUCCGUAGAAAAAGCAUCGGCUAACUCGGUGCCAGCAGCCGCGGUAAUACGGAGGAUGCGAGCGUUAUCCGGAUGUAUUGGGUUAAAAGGGUGCGCAGGCGGAAGAUCAAGUCAGCGGUAAAAUUGAGAGGCUCAACCUCUUCGAGCGGUUGAAACUGGUUUUCUUGAGUGAGUGAGAGGUAUGCGGAAUGCGUGGUGUAGCGGUGAAAUGCAUAGAUAUCACGAAGAACUCCGAUGGCGAAGGCAGCAUACCGGCGCUCAACUGACGCUCAUGCACGAAAGUGUGGGUAUCGAACAGGAUUAGAUACCCUGGUAGUC